CAAUAGCGUAUAUUAAAGUUGUUGCGGUUAAAAAGCUCGUAGUUGGAUUUCUGCCGAGGACGACCGGUCCGCCCUCUGGGUGAGUAUCUGGUUCGGCCUGGGCAUCUUCUUGGAGAACGUAUCUGCACUUGACUGUGUGGUGCGGUAUCCAGGACUUUUACUUUGAGGAAAUUAGAGUGUUUCAAGCAGGCACACGCCUUGAAUACAUUAGCAUGGAAUAAUAAGAUAGGACCUUGGUUCUAUUUUGUUGGUUUCUAGAGCUGAGGUAAUGAUUAAUAGGGACAGUUGGGUGAUUAUCGUAUUUCGUUGUCAGAGGUGAAAUUCUUGGAUUUCCGAAAGACGAACUACUGCGAAAGCAUUUACCAAGGAUGUUUUCAUUAAUCAAAGAACGAAAGUUAGGGGAGUCGAAGAUGAUCAGAU
rnacentral:rRNA from 1 species